rnacentral:lncRNA from 1 species
UUAAUUUUAGAAUUGGUUGUUAUUUUAGGCGGGUAACGAACCUAUAAUCAGAAAGAUCCGAAUUUUUGUCUGGAUGGGGUCAAGUGCCUAGCUUUAUUAGCUUUGUAGUCAAUUGGGUAUUUGUAGUCCAAAUAUGAAUUAGGGUUUUGUUUCUUUGGUUCAAAUUAGUGAAGAGAAUAUGCUUCUUUUCGUUAUCAUGGAUACAGUAGCUCUAAACACCUAAAAAGUUGCUUAAUUGAAGUGAAAUUUCCAGUUUUUGGGCUUACUUUCAGGUCCUGAGCUUUGUUUUUGUGUAUAUUUAACUCAGCUAAAGCUAUCCUAGCUGGUAAUUUGUAGUAUUUGUAUUGAUGAUUCUAUUUCUUCAUGACUAUGUAUCUUACCCGUUGCCCAAAUUGCUUGCCCCAAUUUGUUAUACAUUCAAUUUGGUGUAGAAAUGUUUUCCUUUUACUUUUUUGGUAGGCAUUGGAAACAUGCAAUGGGAUUCACCUCCAAUGCACGGUUAAUCUUAAAAGACAUAUUGAAUUGGGUUGAUGUUUAUUGGUUGUUGGUUGCUGUGAUGUGUAGGUGGUAGCAAACUAGCAAUGUCGACUCCUGCGAGGAAGAGGCUGAUGAGAGACUUCAAGAGGCUGCAACAAGACCCACCUGCAGGGAUUAGUGGGGCGCCCCAAGAUAACAAUAUAAUGCUGUGGAAUGCUGUUAUAUUUGGGUAUGUUGGAAAAAUGAAAUGCAUAAAAAGAAAUUACUAUAGUGUUCUCUUUGUUAUGCAACAUUAAUAUUCAUUUUUCGUUUCUUGUCUGGUUUGGAUUGCAGUCCAGAUGAUACCCCUUGGGAUGGAGGUUAGUUAAUCCUUGUACUGAAGCUUUUGAUUAUGUUAAUGUUUUUCAGACGUGGGAUAUUCUAAUGUUUUUCAGACGUGGGAUAUUCUGAUCUAAGUUUUACAUUCUAGGAUGAAGAUGAACCGCAUGUACAGUAGUUAUGUUAUCCCUUUCUUUUGUAAAGGAUUUUAUGUCUUCUUCUUGACGAAAUAAUUAGAUUGCGGUCUGAUGGAUUCCUUAUUUCACUAAGUUCCUAAAAUUUUCGUACUUUCUAAUACUAAAUUCUGAAAACCAGAACCUGAAUAUUGAGUAAAUAACUAAAAGCUUUCCUCCUUUGUUUCUGUCAUGUCUUUUGCCCAUUGAUGUGACCAUGGUAUGCAUGUUUCUGUUAAAUAACCUUAACUUUGUUAGUAUCUACAUUUAAGAACUCUCUGUUGGAGUAAUACAGGCACGUUUAAGUUGACCCUUCAGUUUACAGAGGAUUACCCAAACAAACCACCGACAGUCCGAUUUGUUUCUCGAAUGUUUCAUCCAAAUAGUAAGUUGGAUUAUACAUGUCUUGACAUCACAAUUUUCUGCAUGUUAAGCAUUUCUCCUCUGGUUUCUGAAUUCAAUUUUUCUUUCAAAUUUGGUCAGUUUAUGCAGAUGGAAGUAUUUGUUUGGAUAUUUUACAGAAUCAGUGGAGUCCUAUAUAUGAUGUGGCAGCUAUACUCACAUCUAUUCAGGUAGGAUUGAAUUGUGUGGAUAGGAUUUUUGUUCCUUGCUUAUAUUUAUGAAUUUUCAUAGCAUGUAGCAAAGGUGUGUCGCCUAUAGCAUACAUUUGACUUAGAACUUAAAGAAACAUCGUAUUGGGGAGGUUAAAGUUUUGCUUCUACACCUUAGGGUCUUAAGGAAGGCUAGUACGUUUAUCUUUAUUCCAGUACAGUGUGGAGUUUUAUAUAUCUAUACGACAAAUGUAGCUGCACAUGCCAAUGAAGGCAUGUAGGUAUUUCGAUGUAGACCAACUAUGAAUGGAAAUAGUGAUGUAUGUGUUGAGAAACUUUUAGUGUGCUAAACACCAACAAUCUGAGAAGACCCUAACAUCUACCAUUUUCUUAUUGCAGUCACUACUAUGUGAUCCCAACCCAAACUCUCCUGCUAAUUCAGAAGCUGCUCGCAUGUUUAGCGAGAACAAGCGUGAGUACAACCGAAGAGUGAGAGAAAUCGUGGAACAGAGUUGGACAGCAGACUAACUCCUUCACAUGGGAGCUUGUAGGACAGUCGGAAUUUGUUCAAAGGCAUUUUAUAAGUAGCAUUUCUAGCUACUGCGAGAAUCGUUAUGCCAACUUAUCAACAUUUAUCCUGUAUUUCAAUGUUUUAUUCCCAAAUUAUGACGCUUAGGAUUUGUUCUUCGAAGUAUACAGUUGUGAUGGUAUAUGUUGUAAAUUGUAAUUUCCAUCAAGGACGUUGAUGUAUGUGGAAAGGAUUGACCAUGGAUUAGCUGACAUAAGCUUUGAUGUUUAAGUAUGCUUUAACUCUUAAUCACUUUGUUAACGUCCAUAAUAAAAACACUGCAUUGAUCCUGCAGUGGUCAUUUUCAGUGACACUGAAUUGCCGACCAUUUUAUAUUCUUUAGCUAUAGAGACAAAAUUUAUGGACCCACCCCACUCCAUAUUGUAGUCAAAGUACGUCAAAUACUACUCUCUAAAUUAUUGUUCGUAGGCUCCGUCUAAAAUUUACCAUCCUCAUCCAAUUAUUAGGUCACAAUAUAAUCGAUCAAUAUGCUUUGCGGGCCCCAGGAUCAAUGUAUCCACUUGUAAAAGCCAAACCAAGCCCCCCUUAAGUUCCUUUCCUGAUGCUCUGUAUAGUUUUUUCCAGCUAGCUCAUGAAAUAUAUUCUGUAAAUAAGGAGACAAAAAGGGAGCAUCAUGAAAUGGCAACAAGGGCUAUAUGGUUGGUAUGUCAUGAAUACACUGUGAUUAUAAUUUGUAAAGAGUAAACUAUGAAAACGAGUGAUUAUCAAUUGUUAAUAUGUAGGUGUUUUGUAAAUAAUAAACAAUCGUUCAUGCACGCACGCGUACUGUAAUAUAUGAGAUAUAACUUCAUUUAUAAGCUCUUAUAAUUCUCUUUAUUCUCAAUAUUAUAAAAAAUUUAAGAGUAUUAUUAAAGUCACCCAUUUCAAGGUCUUAUAUUUUGUAAUUUGACAACUCAAAGAUGGACAUGGUAGUUUUGAAUCUCUCAAGAGAAUGAAAAACCAUAAAAAGAAAAAAAGGACAAAGAAAAAAGAAAAAGGUGGAGAGAAAAUUCCCUCCAUUCACUUUUGGGAGAUUUUGGAAAAGACCAAAAGGGAGUGAAAUUUUUUAAAAGAAGCCAAAAUGGACAAAAUUGCCCUUCUUUAUUUUUGGAUUUCAUAAAGAAUCUUUUACAUUUGCAUGUUUUUGUUUUGAAAGUUGAGAGGUUUUUUUGUCUUUUUUGAAAAAAUUUUGGCUUUUUUCAAAAGUAAAAAAAAUUUUGUGGCUAAAUUCUAAAUUUAGGAGAAUAUAUUUCAGAAAGAGAAGGCAAGCAGGCAAGUAGGGAGGGUCAGUGCUGAGUAGACCGACCCCAACCACAUCGCAAAAUUCCUACAUUCACAUUCACUUGAUAAUUCUGAUACAAGCUAAUUUACAAAACAACCUCCGCCCUUCUCUCUCUCUCUCUCUCUCUCUCUCUCUCUCUCAGUAGUUCUGUGUUCCUCUCCUCCCAGACCUAAUGGCUUCGAUCUGAUUAAACCCACCUCCAAAGCCCCUUCCUUCAACAACCCAAUUCUGAACCUGUUCAGAUCGAGACCUCUUGGAGAUUCGGAGCUCCAGGUGAGAAAAUUUUCCCCAAAUUUUCCCAAAUUUUCUUCAAUUUCUUUUGUUCUUAUUCAUUUCCAAGUUUAAUUUUAGAAUUGGUUGUUAUUUUAGGCGGGUAACGAACCUAUAAUCAGAAAGAUCCGAAUUUUAUGUCUCGAUGGGGUCAAGUGCCUAGCUUUAUUAGCUUUGUAGUCAAUUGGGUAUUUGUAGUCCAAAUAUGAAUUAGGGUUUUGUUUCUUAGGGUCAAAUUAGUGAAGAGAAUAUGCUUCUUUUCGUUAUCAUGGAUACCGUAGCUCUAAACACCUAAAAAGUUUUUUAAUUGAAGUGAAAUUUCCAGUUUUUGGGCUUACUUUCAGGUCCUGAGCUUUGUUUUUGUGUAUAUUUAACUCAGCUAAAGCUAUCCUAGCUGGUAAUUUGUAGUAUUUGUAUUGAUGAUUCUAUUUCUUCAUGACUAUGUAUCUUACCCGUUGCCCAAAUUGCUUGCCCCAAUUUUUAUACAUUCAAUUUGGUGUAGAAAUUUUUUUCUUUUACUUUUUUGAUAGGCAUUGGAAACAUGCAAUGGGAUUCACCUCCAAUGCACGGUUAAUCUUAAAAGACAUAUUGAAUUGGGUUGAUGUUUAUUGGUUGUUGGUUGCUGUGAUGUGUAGGUGGUAGCAAACUAGCAAUGUCGACUCCUGCGAGGAAGAGGCUGAUGAGAGAUUUCAAGAGGCUGCAACAAGACCCACCUGCAGGGAUUAGUGGGGCGCCCCAAGAUAACAAUAUAAUGCUGUGGAAUGCUGUUAUAUUUGGGUAUGUUGGAAAAAUGAAAUGCAUAAAAAGAAAUUACUAUAGUGUUCUCUUUGUUAUGCAACAUUAAUAUUCAUUUUUCGUUUCUUGUCUGGUUUGGAUUGCAGUCC